UCCCGUCCGUUGUCGCACGUUGCCAAAAAUGGUCAUUUGCGUCGCACGACGCCAGCGGGUUUCCUUGCUGCGGAUGACGCGCUACCAGAGGGAUUCCCUGGCUCCGCCGCCGGGAUUUAAAGGGACAGGCGCACCCUGGGAAGACCCCCUCCAUCCUCCUGGGAGCUGGCUGCAGGGCCAAAUCCAGGCCUCCAAGCCAGAGUAAGUCAUGGGAACAGCAGAUAUCUCCUGUGAAGAAGCCUGCAGUAAUCAUUUCCCCCUAAAUGUGCACUGUCACCUGUGAAGGACAGCUGAGACCUACUGUGGCUGUCCCCGCUGUGGGGCAGGGCAUCCCCUGGGCUGGGGGGCAGCUCCAGAGGUGGGUGGCAGGACUGUGGCCGCUCAGCACUGGCCGUGGUGUGGGGAGCUGCGGGACAGCCCAGGAAAGGACAUGCACCUCUUCUCCCCACAUGAUUCCUCAUCUCCUGUUUUAAAACUCACUCCCAGCUCCCCCAAAUUGGCGCUGGCUUGGUCACUGUUCAUUAAAAAGGACUUCUAUUAUACAAGUGACAGCUCUGUUGCUUCCUGAGACCUUUUCCUUGAGCUCUCUGAAGAAGCAGCGUAUGCAUUUCCAGUGCUCUCCAGUCCUUCCUGACAUCUGUAC